rnacentral:rRNA from 1 species
AUGCAAACAGAAAAGAAGAAAGCAAGAAUGGAACAAAUUGAAGCUCACCCUCAAUUGAAACGCAACACACCAUCCAAAGAUUCAAUAGCAAUGGAGAACCCUGAAUAUCUCGCAACUGAACAGGAGGAGAGCACUUCUACAUUUACUGUAAAACACAGGGAUCAUGUGGCAGCGGGAGAAAGGCAAGCGUUGCUACACCGUCGUAACGAAGAAUUCACAAGAAGACGUAAGCAAGCUAUUUCCGUAUCAUCAAAAGAAGAUGAAUCCAUGACGGAAACCUGCAACGAAAACACUCAGCCUCUAGAGCAGCCACAAGUCAUGACUUACGGUAAUAAUCUCGAUUUUAUACUUGCAUUCCAAGUAAAUAUAAAUCUGUCUGUACAACUAACCAUCUAUUUUGGACAGACAUCCCCUCCUCAAUGUUUCCAAGCAUCAGAGAAACAGAUACACCGACACAAUCAUUAUACAAUGAUGAUCACAGUAAAGUAA